rnacentral:rRNA from 1 species
GCAAGUCGAGCGCUUUCCUUCGGGAAGGAGCGGCGGACGGGUUAGUAACGCGUGGGAACAUACCCUAUUCUAUGGAAUAGCCUUUGGAAACGAAGAGUAAUACCAUAUACGCCCUUCGGGGGAAAGAUUUAUCGGAGAAGGAUUGGCCCGCGUUAGAUUAGAUAGUUGGUGGGGUAAUGGCCUACCAAGGCGACGAUCUGUAGCUGGUCUGAGAGGACGAUC